rnacentral:tRNA from 1 species
UUAAUUGAAACCAAAAAGAGGUGUAUCACUGUUAAUGAUAAAAAUAAGAUUUAUUCUUCAAUUAAG